rnacentral:rRNA from 1 species
UACGAAGGGUGCAAGCGUUAAUCGGAAUUACUGGGCGUAAAGGGUGCGUAGGCGGUUCGUUAAGUCUGUCGUGAAAUCCCCGGGCUCAACCUGGGAAUGGCGAUGGAUACUGGCGAGCUAGAGUGUGUCAGAGGAUGGUGGAAUUCCCGGUGUAGCGGUGAAAUGCGUAGAGAUCGGGAGGAACAUCAGUGGCGAAGGCGGCUCUCUGGGACGGUACUGACGCUGAGACGCGAAAGCGUGGGGAGCGAACAGG